rnacentral:rRNA from 1 species
UCGGAUCGAUUUAGCCAUGCUAGUUGCGCGAGUUCAGACUCGCAGCAGAUAGCUCAGUAACACGUGGUCAAGCUACCCUGCAGACACGGACAACCUCGGGAAACUGAGGCUAAUCCGCGAUACCGAUCCCACGCUGGAAUGCCGGGAUCCACAAACGCUCCGGCGCUGCAGGAUGCGGCUGCGGCCGAUUAGGUAGACGGUGGGGUAACGGCCCACCGUGCCGAUAAUCGGUACGGGUUGUGAGAGCAAGAGCCCGGAGACGGAAUCUGAGACAAGAUUCCGGGCCCUACGGGGCGCAGCAGGCGCGAAACCUUUACACUGCACGCAAGUGCGAUAAGGGGACUCCGAGUGCGAGGGCAUAUAGUCCUCGCUUUUGAGAACCGUAAGGUGGUUCUCGAAUAAGAGCUGGGCAAGACCGGUGCCAGCCGCCGCGGUAAUACCGGCAGCUCAAGUGAUGGCCAAUCUUAUUGGGCCUAAAGCGUCCGUAGCUGGCCGUGAAAGUUCGUCGGGAAAUCCAUCCGCUCAACGGAUGGGCGUCCGGCGAAAACUUCACGGCUUGGGACCGGAAGGCUCGAGGGGUACGUCCGGGGUAGGAGUGAAAUCCUGUAAUCCUGGACGGACCGCCGAUGGCGAAAGCACCUCGAGAAGACGGAUCCGACAGUGAGGGACGAAAGCUAGGGUCUCGAACCGGAUUAGAUACCCGGGUAGUCCUAGCCGUAAACGAUGUUCACUAGGUGUGGCACAGGCUACGAGCCUGUGCUGUGCCGUAGGGAAGCCGAGAAGUGAACCGCCUGGGAAGUACGUCCGCAAGGAUGAAACUUAAAGGAAUUGGCGGGGGAGCACUACAACCGGAGGAGCCUGCGGUUUAAUUGGACUCAACGCCGGACAUCUCACCAGCUCCGACUACAGUAAUGACGGUCAGGUUGAUGACCUUACCACGAGCUGUAGAGAGAGGUGCAUGGCCGCGUCAGCUCGUACCGUGAGGCGUCCUGUUAAGUCAGGCAACGAGCGAGACC